rnacentral:rRNA from 1 species
AGGGCCGCGGUAAUUUGACCGUGCAAAGGUAGCAUAAUCAUUAGUCUUUUAAUUGGAGGCUUGUAUGAAUGGUCGGAUGAGGGGUUAACUGUCUUUAAUAUAAUUAUAAACUUAACUUUUAAGUGAAAAGUCUUAAAUUAAUUAGGGGGACGAUAAGACCCUAUAAAACUUGAUUUAAUAUAUAAUUUCAAAAUCUAUUAAUACUCAGGUUUCUAAUUAUAUUAUUAAAUUGUGUUGGGGCGACAAUGAUAAAAACUUAACUGUCAUUUAAAUAUAAUAGAAUUAUCUAGUUUUUGAUCCAUUUAUAGUGAUUAAAAGAUUAAGUUACUUUAGGGAUAACAGCGUAAUUUUCCUUGAGAGUUCAUAUCGACAGGAGUAGUUGCGACCUCGAUGUUGAAUUAAGAUUUCUAGUAGGUGUAGCCGUCUAUUAAGUGGGUCUGUUCGACCUUUAAAAUCUU